rnacentral:rRNA from 1 species
CCUACGGGGAGCAGCAGUGAGGAAUAUUGGUCAAUGGACGAGAGUCUGAACCAGCCAAGUAGCGUGAAGGAUGACUGCCCUAUGGGUUGUAAACUUCUUUUAUAUGGGAAUAAAACGUUCCACGUGUGGGAUUUUGUAUGUACCAUAUGAAUAAGGAUCGGCUAACUCCGUGCCAGCAGCCGCGGUAAUACGGAGGAUCCGAGCGUUAUCCGGAUUUAUUGGGUGUAAAGGGAGCGUAGGUGGAUUGUUAAGUCAGUUGUGAAAGUUUGCGGCUCAACCGUAAAAUUGCAGUUGAAACUGGCAGUCUUGAGUACAGUAGAGGUGGGCGGAAUUCGUGGUGUAGCGGUGAAAUGCUUAGAUAUCAUGAAGAACUCCGAUUGCGAAGGCAGUUCACUGGACUGCAACUGACACUGAGGCUCGAAAGUGUGGGUAUCAAACAGGAUUAGAUACCCUAGUAGUC